AACGAACGCUGGCGGCGCGCUUCAGACAUGCAAGUCGAACGAUGUAGCAAUACAUAGUGGCAAACGGGUGAGUAACACGUGGGAAUCUACCUCAGGGUGUGGGAUAACACCGGGAAACCGGUGCUAAUACCACAUAACGUCUUCGGACCAAAGGUUUACCGCCUUGAGAGGAGCCCGCGUAAGAUUAGCUAGUUGGUGAG
rnacentral:rRNA from 1 species